rnacentral:rRNA from 1 species
AGAGUUUGAUUAUGGCUCAGGACGAACGCUGGCGGCGCGCUUAACACAUGCAAGUCGAGCGAUGAAAUUUUAACAGAUCCUUUCGGGGAGAAGAUAAGAUGGAUUAGCGGCGGACGGGUGAGUAACACGUGAGUAACCUGCCUUUGACACAGGGAUAGCCUCGGGAAACCGGGAUUAAUACUAGAUAACAUUAUCAGAUCGCAUGAGAAGAUAAUCAAAGCUGAGGCGGUCAAAGAUGGACUCGCGUCCCAUUAGCUAGUUGGUAGAGUAAUAGCCUACCAAGGCAACGAUGGGUAGCCGGCCUGAGAGGGUGAACGGCCACAUCGGAACUGAGAAACGGUCCAA